rnacentral:rRNA from 1 species
AGAGUUUGAUCCUGGCUCAGAACGAACGCUGGCGGCAUGCCUAACACAUGCAAGUCGAACGAAGUCUUCGGACUUAGUGGCGCACGGGUGCGUAACGCGUGGGAAUCUGCCCUUGGGUGCGGAAUAACUUCUCGAAAGGGAUGCUAAUACCGCAUAAUGUCGUAAGACCAAAGAUUUAUCGCCCAAGGAUGAGCCCGCGUAAGAUUAGCUAGUUGGUGGGGUAAAAGCCUACCAAGGCGACGAUCUUUAGCUGGUCUGAGAGGAUGAUCAGCCACACUGGGACUGAGACACGGCCCAGACUCCUACGGGAGGCAGCAGUGGGAAUAUUGGACAAUGGGCGAAAGCCUGAUCCAGCAAUGCCGCGUGAGUGAUGAAGGCCCUAGGGUUGUAAAGCUCUUUUACCAGGGAUGAUAAUGACAGUACCUGGAGAAUAAGCUCCGGCUAACUCCGUG